CACUAAACUACAACCGAGGAACCACGUA
rnacentral:sRNA from 1 species